rnacentral:rRNA from 1 species
UACGUAAGGGGCAAGCGUUGUCCGGAUUUAUUGGGCGUAAAGAGCGUGUAGGCGGCCAGACAGGUCAGCUGUGAAAACUCGAGGCUCAACCUCGAGACGUCGGUUGAAACCGUCUGGCUAGAGUCCGGAAGAGGAGAGUGGAAUUCCCGGUGUAGCGGUGAAAUGCGCAGAUAUCGGGAAGAACACCAGUGGCGAAGGCGGCUCUCUGGGACGGUACUGACGCUGAGACGCGAAAGCGUGGGGAGCGAACAGG